rnacentral:lncRNA from 1 species
AUUUACGUAGGUGCACAGAAUAAUCAACAAGUUUAAUUUGUAUCAAUGUAGCAAUAUAAUAUUGGUAAGAGAAAAGAAAGAUAAACUUAUCAACAAUGUAGCUGUGAUAAACAAGAUAUAUCUAUAUCAAGUGCAGUAUGCUUAGGAGAAUUUUGCAAUUAAAAUAAAAAUACUUCCUGUCCAGGACUGUUGUAGCUUUGCUUCUUUUUCAAACAGAGCUGUUCACGUCAUACCAAGGCAUAAUUCACUCUGAGACACUCAUCUUGAAAGAAACGUGAGUGUAGAAAGUAUCAGACAACCAACCAAUUGAAUAGUAUUCUGGACAGAUUUCAACCCAGGAGAUUUGUUACGAAAGUUUAUUUGUGGAGCAUGAGAACUGGAGUCCAGAGAAUCCUUUGGCUCUGGCAGCCUAGAGAAGAGAUUUUAAGGAGAACUGAUCAGGGAAAAGUACCUAAUAUAUUCUGUCAAGUCAUAGCUGACAUCGGAGAGUGAAGGCUGUUCCAGUUCAUCUCCCUGUCCUCAUUCAAGAGGAAAGGCUGUCUGAGAGGCUGGAAAUCCUGAGGAGUUUGAUCAUUCCAUGAUCUCCUAAUCACUGCAUUGCUCUUGCUUCCCAAUGCUGGUUCAAACGGGUCUUGAAAAUCAACUGUGGAGAGUCAGAUUUCCAUUCCUCUGCACCCAUGUGGAAUUCAAAUUAAAAAGACAAGAGAUUGAGGAGGAGAGAAAGAAAGAAAGAAACAAAGAAGAGGGGGAAAAAAGAAAGAAAAAACAAAGGGGUAUCCAUAAAGAUGUUCAGUCUUGUGACAGACUGGAAAAACAGGUAUUUGAAGAUGGCAGAGGCAUGAUAAAGCAACUUUUCUGGGUAUUUUCUUUUAUCUACACUAGGUACUACUUUUUAAAUAAUCAGCUGAGGCUUUUUGUGUUGCUGUUUAAAUUUCUGGUUGCCUGAAGUGCCUCCGAAUUCAGCAGUUGCUAUAGGAGCAAUGUUUAAAGGAUAU